AACGUAGGAGACAAACGUUAUCCGGAGUUACUGGGCGUAAAGGGCGUGUAGGUGGUUUCGUAAGUCUGGCGUGAAAUAUCUCGGCUUAACCGAGGCAGGUCGUCGGAUACUGCGGAACUAGAGGACGGUAGAGGCGUGUGGAAUUCCGGGUGUAGUGGUGGAAUGCGUAGAGAUCCGGAGGAACACCAGUGGCGAAGGCGACACGCUGGGCCGUACCUGACACUGAUGCGCGACAGCAUGGGGAGCAAACAGG
rnacentral:rRNA from 1 species